rnacentral:rRNA from 1 species
AGUGAACGCUGGCGGUAGGCCUAACACAUGCCAGUCGAACGGCAGCACAGUAAGAGCUUGCUCUUACGGGUGGCGAGUGGCAGACGGGUGAGGAAUACAUCGGAAUCUACUUUUUCGUGGGGGAUAACGUAGGGAAACUUACGCUAAUACCGCAUACGACCUACGGGUGAAAGCAGGGGAUCUUCGGACCUUGCGCGAUUGAAUGGGCCGAUGUCGGAUUAGCUAGUUGGCGGGGUAAAGGCCCACCAAGGCGACGAUCCGUAGCUGGUCUGAGAGGAUGAUCAGCCACACUGGAACUGAGACACGGUCCAGACUCCUACGGGAGGCAGCAGUGGGGAAUAUUGGACAAUGGGCGCAAGCCUGAUCCAGCCAUACCGCGUGGGUGAAGAAGGCCUUCGGGUUGUAAAGCCCUUUUGUUGGGAAAGAAAAGCAGCAGGUUAAUACCCCGCUGUUCUGACGGUACCCAAAGAAUAAGCACCGGCUAACUUCGUG